UACGAAGGGGGCUAGCGUUGUUCGGAAUCACUGGGCGUAAAGCGCACGCAGGCGGAUCGAUAAGUCGGGGGUGAAAGCCCGGGGCUCAACCUCGGAAUUGCCUUCGAUACUGUCGGUCUCGAGUCCGGGAGAGGUGAGUGGAAUUCCUAGUGUAGAGGUGAAAUGCAUAGAUAUCACGAGGAACGCCGAUAGCGAAGGCAGCUCGCCGGGCCGCGAUCGACGCUGAGGCACGAAAGCGUGGGGAUCAAACAGG
rnacentral:rRNA from 1 species